UGGGAGUAGUGAAUGAUCCAUAUUUGAACGGCGUGAGGUAACGGUGAGAUAGAAUUAUUCUGAUGGAUAUAGUCGUGAGUGCGUAAGAUGAGCGAUUGAGAGAAGACUACCAUGCGGGAACAUUUGAGAAUACGAAAAGUUGAAGAAGAAAGGCAUGGGCACCUGUCUCCGUAGAGCUUACUUUAUGGGUGAUAAAAUGGUAGCAACACAAUACAAUUAUGAUUUGGGAGUAGUGAAUGAUCCAUAUUUGAACGGCGUGAGGUAAUGAUGAAACAGAAUUAUCCUGAUGGAUAUAGUCGUGAGUGCGUAAGAUGAGCGAUUGAGAGAAGACUACCACGCGGGAACAUUUGAGAAUACGAAAGGUUGCAGAAAAAAUGCAUGCCAUGUUGACAUUAGAUGCUAAUCAGACAGCUAAAGACAUCAAUCGAAAGAAAAGGACGGUUGACUAAUGGAUAUUAUCGUCAUCUUUAAAAAGAGUAUUUCAGUUUAACUCUGUAGACCACAAGGAGCCAUUAAUAUUGAAAUUCUUAUAAUUUCUCGGAG
rnacentral:lncRNA from 1 species